rnacentral:rRNA from 1 species
ACUUAAAUUGAAGAGUUUGAUCAUGGCUCAGAUUGAACGCUGGCGGCAGGCCUAACACAUGCAAGUCGAGCGGUAGCACAGAGAGCUUGCUCUCGGGUGACGAGCGGCGGACGGGUGAGUAAUGUCUGGGAAACUGCCUGAUGGAGGGGGAUAACUACUGGAAACGGUAGCUAAUACCGCAUAAUGUCGCAAGACCAAAGUGGGGGACCUUCGGGCCUCAUGCCAUCAGAUGUGCCCAGAUGGGAUUAGCUAGUAGGUGGGGUAACGGCUCACCUAGGCGACGAUCCCUAGCUGGUCUGAGAGGAUGACCAGCCACACUGGAACUGAGACACGGUCCAGACUCCUACGGGAGGCAGCAGUGGGGAAUAUUGCACAAUGGGCGCAAGCCUGAUGCAGCCAUGCCGCGUGUGUGAAGAAGGCCUUCGGGUUGUAAAGCACUUUCAGCGGGGAGGAAGGCGAUAAGGUUAAUAACCUCAUCGAUUGACGUUACCCGCAGAAGAAGCACCGGCUAACUCCGUGCCAGCAGCCGCGGUAAUACGGAGGGUGCAAGCGUUAAUCGGAAUUACUGGGCGUAAAGCGCACGCAGGCGGUCUGUCAAGUCGGAUGUGAAAUCCCCGGGCUCAACCUGGGAACUGCAUUCGAAACUGGCAGGCUAGAGUCUUGUAGAGGGGGGUAGAAUUCCAGGUGUAGCGGUGAAAUGCGUAGAGAUCUGGAGGAAUACCGGUGGCGAAGGC